rnacentral:rRNA from 1 species
CCUACGGGAGGCAGCAGUGGGGAAUUUUGGACAAUGGGCGCAAGCCUGAUCCAGCAAUGCCGCGUGAGUGAAGAAGGCCUUCGGGUUGUAAAGCUCUUUUGUCAGGGAAGAAACGGUGGUUCCUAAUACGGACUACUAAUGACGGUACCUGAAGAAUAAGCGCCGGCUAACUACGUGCCAGCAGCCGCGGUAAUACGUAGGGUGCAAGCGUUAAUCGGAAUUACUGGGCGUAAAGCGUGCGCAGGCGGUUAUAUAAGUCAGAUGUGAAAUCCCCGGGCUCAACCUGGGAACUGCAUUUGAGACUGUAUGGCUAGAGUGUGUCAGAGGGGGGUAGAAUUCCACGUGUAGCAGUGAAAUGCGUAGAUAUGUGGAGGAAUACCGAUGGCGAAGGCAGCCCCCUGGGAUAACACUGACGCUCAUGCACGAAAGCGUGGGGAGCAAACAGGAUUAGAUACCCUGGUAGUCCACGCCCUAAACGAUGUCUACUAGUUGUCGGGACUUAAUUGUCUUGGUAACGCAGCUACGCGUGAGUAGACCGCCGUGGGAGGUACGGUCGCGAGAGUAAACCCGAAACGUAGAGUAGACGCGUGAGACGUAGCGACGGACGACGACGAGGGGAGGAGG